AUUGAACGCUGGCGGUAUGCCUUACACAUGCAAGUCGAACGGUAACAGGUUAAGCUGACGAGUGGCGUACGGGUGAGUAAUGUAUCGGUACGUGCCCAGUCGUGUGGGAUAUCUGCUCGAAAGAGCAGCUAAUACUGCAUACGACCUGAGGGUGAAAUCGGGUUAUCGCAAGACCUCGCGCGUUUUGAUUUGCCGAUAUCAGAUUCCGUAGUUCGUGAGGUAAAGGCUAACCAAGACGACGAUCUGUAGCUGUUCUAAGAGGACGAUCAUCCGCACGGGGAAUGGAAUACGCCGCCGACUCCUACGGGAGGCAGCAGUGGGGAAUUUUGGACAAUGGGCGCAAGCCAGAUCCAGCCAUGCGGCGUGCGGGAAGAAGGCCUUCGCGUGUUAAACAGCUUUUGUCAGGGAAGAAAAGGUUCUGGCUAAUAACUGGGACUCAUGACGGUACCUGAAGAAUAAGCACCGGCUAACUACGUG
rnacentral:rRNA from 1 species